GAUUGGACUGAAGGGAGCU
rnacentral:snRNA from 1 species